UCAAAAUUAAAUAAAAACAUAAAUAUUAAAAAUCAUAAUAAAUCAGCACAUUAACAGAAAAAGCCUAAUUUAUUUUCACUUAAUACAUAUCAUUGUCGAGACAAAUUCUGACCAACGCCAUUUGAAAAAUCUGGAUCCCAGCAUAGCACAUUCGAAUCUAUGGAAUACUCUCAAUUAAUCACCAGGGUUACGAAAAAGAAACCUGAGUUCUUUUUAGUUCGAGACUGCAAGGAAAAAAAUUAAUUACCGUGGAGUGGUCGAAAACAAAGAUGAAGAGCAUAUUGAAGAUAAUCAAAUCUCUAGGGCUAAUCACCUUAAGCGGCGUACAAAGGAAUUGGGACUAGAGUGAAG
rnacentral:lncRNA from 1 species